rnacentral:rRNA from 1 species
UACCAGCACCCCCGAGUGGUCGGGGACGAUUAUUGGGCCUAAAGCAUCCGUAGCCGGUCCUGCAAGUCUUCCGUUAAAUCCAGCUGCUCAACAGAUGGGCUGCGGGGGGAUACUACAGGGCUAGGAGGCGGGAGAGGCAAGCGGUACUUUAUGGGUAGGGGUAAAAAUCCGUUGAUCCAUAGAAGACCACCAGUGGCGAAGGCGGCUUGCCAGAACGCGCUCGACGGUGAGGGAUGAAAGCUGGGGGGAGCAAACCGG